rnacentral:rRNA from 1 species
UUGCAGUUAAAAAGCUCGUAGUUGGAGUUCAGAGUGAGCUCAAUCGGUCGGGAUUAUGUCUCAGAACUGGUUGACUCUCUCUUGUUUGUGGAUCCUGUUCGGAGUUAACUCUUCGGAUGUGGAGUCCACAUCGUUUACCUUGAAAAAAUUAGAGCGUUCAAAGCAGGCGUUUGCUUGAAUAUAUUAGCAUGGAAUAAUGGAAUAGGACGCCGGUUCUAUUUUGUUGGUUUUGAGAACCAGAGUAAUGAUUAAUAGGGACAGUUGGGGGCAUUCAUAUUUCAUUGUCAGAGGUGAAAUUCUUGGAUUUAUGAAAGAUGAACUUCUGCGAAAGCAUUUGCCAAGGAUGUUUUCAUUAAUCAAGAACGAAAGUUAGGGGAUCGAAGACGAUCAGAUACCGUCGUAGUCUUAACCAUAAACUAUGCCGACUAGGGAUUGGGCGUGGUUUGUUCAUUGACCCGCUCAGCUCCUUACGAGAAAUCAAAGUCUUUGGGUUCCGGGGGGAGUAUGGUCGCAAGCUGAAACUUAAAAGAA